AUUCCAGCCAUUUACAAGCUUAUCAGUAUUGUAGCUGUAUCGGUAAGAAUGUGAUAAUUUAAUAUUAAUAUUCAUUAUUUGCACUUUAACACUGAUUUAAAGAUUAACAUUAUAAACACAGAACUUGGCUAACACCUAUGAUACAUGAAGAGGUGGAAAAGGAAUAGCACGUUCACUACAGGGCAAACACUAGCUCACCAGAGGUUAAAAAAAUGUUGACAAAUGUAAAACCUGCUAAACAGAUUCAAUCUUUAUACAUUUCAGUAAGUAAUGUAAGGUGGGUGAAAUAACUUUUAUAACUAGUUUCUAUUAAAACUUACCCCCCACCCCCAAUGCUACUGUACUUUAACCGAUUUUAAAACUAGCUUCACUUAUUAGCUAACCAUGUUAGGCUAACGGCUACCACCAUUCAAAAACAAAUUAGCAGGAUAACACAACACUGAAAGAUAACUAAAGUAAAAGACAACUAUUUUCAUCACAUUAUCUUCACUGUACCUCUGUCUCUGUCAUGUUUGGGUAGUUUUGACAUUGUUGAUAAUGCUUUCUGGCAUCACGUCUGAAAACUAGUCCAUCCCCCCAGACAGAAGGUAUACUCUGAUCAGCAAGAGGAGGUGGUGGUGGUGGUAGGGAGACUUAGGAAGGUAUUAAGAUUUUUUCAUAGGCUUGGCUACUUUUCAUAUUAAGAAAUAAUAGCUAAGUAUUAAAGAUACUGGGUUUUUUUUCCUUCCCCCACUUGAGAAUCACAAAGCAGUGGCUGAUGUAACAGUAACUGCAGCCAUCUUUGAUUCACACUUUUAUGGCUGUGCUUCGUUACAGUAUAACAUGAAAAAUAACUGUCAGAGACUGCUUGGAAUAGACACUGUGAGCUGAAACGUCUGUCACUGGAGAGGAGCUCAAAUAACAUUUACGCGUCAUAACCACCUUCAUCUCAGCAGCAGUCAGCAAUGCAAACCACGUACUUGCGUAACAACAGGGAAGUAAGGAACAGCGAGCAGUCAGUUGUCUGGUGUUUUUGGCAGCAAGCACGAUGUCCUUUGAUUUGAGCAUUUCGGAGAAAACCGGGUUAUGCUUUCAGAUUACUACAACCAGGAGCUUUUAAAGCAUUUUAGAGACUGAACUGCAGCUCCAAACCGGGGCAGACCAGACAAUGCAUUCCCUCAGGGACAGGAGUGGGCCACAGAGACAAAAACCUCUCCAUUUAGAAGCGCCAAGCUGCUGACCUGAUGUGGAUCUCAUAUCUUGCCAGCGUCUCCCCCGGCUACAAAUAUAUGUGUAUGUACUUUUCCAUUUGAUUUGGUGUCAGCGGUCAGGGACGAUAAUGGGGUAAACAGUGUAUUGCUCGCUGAGUGUCUGGCCAGCUGGAAGAGAAGACAUUUUUGAAACUUUGCUGUUAGAUAUCUUCAAGGGAGUGAAAGGAGGAGGCAAGGUAGACUUUAGAUACAUUUCUAUGUAUACAUAAUUGAUAAUUCAGUGUGAGUGUGAUGCUGUAAGAUUAAGCCCCAGGGGAGAUAAGAGCAUGCUCUGCAAUCUCUCUCGCGUUCUCUCUGCUUCCCUCCAUCCCUUUUGACUUGUGCUCCAUUAGAUGAAGUGAUCAGAGUGGCACCCUGCAGAGUGACAGAAAAAGAAAGUGAAAAGCACACAACGCUCUUAUGAUUCACAAAGAUAUCACAGCAGCAGAGCAGAACUCUGUUGUCUAUUACAUGAAAAUAAAGUGGAAACGUCUGAGCUGUCAGGAGCAACUGGUGGCCGACUGACAACGCUCUAAUCACUUAAAUAUCAGAUUAUCAUAUCAAAGUCUUUGGUAUAAAAUAGUGGUGAAAAUGAUUUUUUCUGACAUUUAUUCUUGAGUGUUACUUCCCUGUUUUGCCUCUUCUGGCUUCUGAAAAUGACUUAAAUAAAAGUGUAGUUUUUGUGCUCUGACGUUACCGCUGCUAAUUUUCAGUUAUGUCUUCAGUUUCAUGAGUCAAAAAGGAAUUGCGUUCAUGAUGUUUUAGUCUGGAAAACAUUAGGUUUAGGCUUCUUUCUUAAGCGAUUUUCAAGGUUCACAGCACUUUAUGUCUGCGUCCGGUAUACAUUUAGACUAGUGGGCUUAGAAAGGAUUAAAGAGCGCCCCGUGUUCCCGAUUCACCUCGCUACCACGCAUGCUUUCAUUUAAAUAUCUAGCUUUCUUGCGUGUCUGUAUUAGGCUGUGUUUCAGUGGCCUGCAUCUUGUUGAUUUACUUUAUUAAUUUGUGUUUUCUUGUUGGAGUGAAGUGCUUUUUGUUUGUGUUGUCCAAAUUAUUUGUGAUUUUGAAAAAUACUAUUUAGAUCCAUUUUAGAAGAUGCAAAAAUAUAUGUCUUUGAUGCUUUCAUGGAGAAUAAAGUUAGUUUUAUUAAAGCACACUCGUCUUUCUGUUGUAAAGCACUUUGUGAUGUCUGAUAUAGGUGCUAUAUAAAUUCUUCCCUUACCUGCAAAUGGCUUUG